AGUGUCGCCACGUUAUUCUAAGUAACGAACCUGAGAAAGCCUUCUUAAGUCUCAGUAAGCAGGGCUUCGUGAUAUUUUCCUCAGCGGCAUCGUGAGAUCUCGGUGAUUGGAUAUUGGUAUUUCGUUUGUAUCACCACUGAUACACACAUGGAAGGGCUCAGCGUCACUUCCAAAGCAGCAUGACGACUUUUGGGCGUCAGUUGAAGACAUGGAUGGGCCCGACCCUACUGAAUAUGAAACUCACUGAGGUUACACUGUGCGCAGCAGUGCCUUGGCAACCAUGGUAUCCUUGGAGGAUCUUCAAUAGUCUUAUCACCAGAAAGGAGAACAAGUUUGAAAAAUUGCCACUAAAAAAAGAGAGC